ensembl:rRNA 5S_rRNA 5S ribosomal RNA
GUCUACAGCCGUGCCUCCCUGAACGUGCCCGAGCCCAUGUGAUCUCGGAAGCUAAGCAGGGUCGGGCCCAGUUAGUACUUGGAUGGGAGACCACCUAGGAAGACCAGGUGCUGCAGGCA